rnacentral:rRNA from 1 species
GGCGGGCUUAACACAUGCAAGUCGAACGCGAACAUCCCUUCGGGGGUAAGUAGAGUGGCGCACGGGUGAGUAACACGUAGGCAAUCUGCCCUCUGGCGGGGGACAACUGCUCGAAAGGACAGCUAAUACCGCAUAAGACCACAGCAUCUGCGGACGCAGUGGUAAAAGGUGGCCUCUUCUUGAAAGCUACCGCCAGAGGAUGAGCCUGCGUACCAUCAGCUUGUUGGUGGGGUAACGGCCUACCAAGGCUAAGACGGUUAGCUGGUCUGAGAGGAUGAUCAGCCACACUGGCACUGAAACACGGUCCAUACACCUACGGGUGGCAGCAGUAGGGAAUAUUGCACAAUGGGCGAAAGCCUGAUGCAGCAACGCCGCGUGUGCGAAGAAGGCCUUCGGGUCGUAAAGCACUUUUCUGGGAGAUGAGAAAGGACAGUAUCCCAGGAAUAAGUCUCGGCUAACUACGUGCCAGCAGCCGCGGUAAAACGUAGGAGGCGAGCGUUAUCCGGAUUCACUGGGCGUAAAGCGCGUGCAGGCGGUUUGGUAAGUUGGGCGUGAAAUCUCCCGGCUCAACUGGGAGAGGUCGUCCAAAACUGCCAGACUAGAGAGCGAUAGA